UCUCCGUUGGUGAACCAGCGGAGGGAUCAUUACAGGACUCGCAAGACUCCCGUAAACCACUGUGAACCUACUACUGUUGCCUCGGCGCAGGCUGGGAGCUUCUGUAAACUCCCCCCCGCGGACUCACCUCUGCGCGGAGCAGGCCCGCCGGCGGCCCCACCAAACUCUUGUUUUUAGUGUCUCUUCUGAGUUAAACAAACAAAUGAAUCAAAACUUUCAACAACGGAUCUCUUGGUUCUGGCAUCGAUGAAGAACGCAGC
rnacentral:misc_RNA from 1 species